AACUUUCGGCAAUGGAUCUCUUGGCUCUCGCAUCGAUGAAGAACGCAGCGAAAUGCGAUAGGUAAUGUGAAUUGCAGAUUUUCAGUGAAUCAUCGAAUCUUUGAACGCACCUUGCGCCCCUUGGUAUUCCGAGGGGCAUGCCUGUUUGAGUGUCAUUAAAUUCUCAACUCCGAUUUGAUUUGUUUCUAAUCGGAGCUUGGACUUGGAGGUGCCGGCCGCAUAUAUGGUCAGCUCCUCUCAAAUGCAUCAGCGGAAUUCAACCUUUGGCUUCCGGACGUCAGUGUGAUAAUCAUGUUGCGCUGUCGUUUGAUCCUCAGAGUCCGCUUAUAAUGGUCUUUGGACAAAUCAUCAUCAAAUUUGACCUCAAAUCAGGUAGGACUACCCGCUGAACUUAAGCAUAUCAAUAAGCGGAGGCU
rnacentral:misc_RNA from 1 species